rnacentral:rRNA from 1 species
UGAGUAACCUGCCCUUAACUCUGGGAUAACUCCAAGAAAUUGGGGCUAAUACCGGAUAUGACCGCUGACCGCAUGGUCUGGUGGUGGAAAGAUUUAUCGGCUGGGGAUGGGCCCGCGGCCUAUCAGCUUGUUGGUGGGGUAGUGGCCUACCAAGGCGACGACGGGUAGCCGGCCUGAGAGGGUGACCGGCCACACUGGGACUGAGACACGGCCCAGACUCCUACGGGAG